AACGAACGCUGGCGGCGUGGAUAAGACAUGCAAGUCGAGCGCUCAUUCGGUUGCAGCAAUGUAGCCGAGUGGGAGCGGCGCAAGGGUGCGUAACACGUGGGUAAUUUGCCAAAAAGUUUGGGAUAACUCGCUGAAAGGCGAGCUAAUACCGGAUGUGAUCAUCGGGCGGCAUCGUUUGAUGAUUAAAGUUGGGGACCGUAAGGCCUGACGCUUUUUGAUAAGCCCGCGGCCUAUCAGCUAGUUGGUGAGGUAACGGCUCACCAAGGCUAAGACGGGUAGCUGGUCUGAGAGGACGACCAGCCACACUGGAACUGAGACACGGUCCAGACACCUACGGGUGGCAGCAGUCGAGAAUUUUUCACAAUGGGCGAAAGCCUGAUGGAGCGACGCCGCGUGGGGGAUGAAUGGCUUCGGCCCGUAAACCCCUGUCAUCUGGGAACAAUGCCUAUUUGAUAACACCAGAUAGGUUGAUAGUACUGGAAGAGGAAGGGACGGCUAACUCUGUGA
rnacentral:rRNA from 1 species